rnacentral:rRNA from 1 species
UACGGGGGGAGCAAGCGUUGUUCGGAUUUACUGGGCGUAAAGGGCGCGUAGGCGGUCAGCACAAGUUAGUUGUGAAAUCUCCGGGCUUAACUCGGAAAGGUCAACUGAUACUGUGCGACUAGAGUGCAGAAGGGGCAACUGGAAUUCUCGGUGUAGCGGUGAAAUGCGUAGAUAUCGAGAGGAACACCUGCGGCGAAGGCGGGUUGCUGGGCUGACACUGACGCUGAUGCGCGAAAGCCAGGGGAGCGAAGCGGG